rnacentral:misc_RNA from 1 species
UUCGAACUCACCCCGCUUUCGAGGUGUUCCUUGUCGGCGGUGAGUUCGAUUUCCUCGUACUCGCCGUUGUCCUCGUUACGGAAUCUGAUGUAGUAGUAGUCGAUGGAGUUCCAGAAUGUACCGGGUCGCUGCCAUUGGAAAUAAAUGGCGUCUUGCGCCUGGCAGGUUAGAUUCAAAAUGCGGGGCGCCCUGGGGCCCGUGACAUCCGUUUUGUGAAUGAUGUGCUCCGACGGCUCCCCCUCGUUUUUCCACGUGUACGCCUUCACCCAUAUCUUGUACUUGGUGAAGGUAGUACAUAUGUCCCCCUCACCCAGGCUGGUCAGGUUGAAAAAUAUGUUCGGCUCGUCGUGGUCGAUAUUCCGGUGCGAUUUAACGUCCGUGUAAUUCGAGUGCAUGUAGUAGACUCUGUAGCCCCUGAUGUCGCCGUUAGCGUUCUCAGGUUCGGCCCAAGAAAGUUCUAUCGACGACGAGGUCACCUGAUGUACGGUCAAGUUCAACGGUUUGCUGGGCACUGAAAUAUCGGAAGGAAAAAAAAAU